rnacentral:rRNA from 1 species
AUACGGAGGGUGCAAGCGUUAUUCGGAAUCACUGGGCGUAAAGGACGCGUAGGCGGGUUGGCAAGUCAGAUGUGAAAUCCUACAGCUUAACUGUAGAACUGCAUUUGAAACUGCUAACCUAGAGUAUGGGAGGGGGAGAUGGAAUUAGUGGUGUAGGGGUAAAAUCCGUAGAUAUCACUAGGAAUACCGAAAGCGAAGGCGAUCUCCUGGAACAUAACUGACGCUAAGGCGUGAAAGCGUGGGGAGCAAACAGGAUUAGAAACCCUCGUAGUCC